rnacentral:lncRNA from 1 species
ACAUCAGCUGAUCGUCAGCAGGAAAAAGAAGGGCAGAUUAUGGACCUUGACCUUCGUUUAAACAUUGCGGGUGCGAGCUUUAGUUGUACGCGGAACUAGCAUGUGUAGUUAUUGGUGGGCCUCUUACAUGGGCUGGUACUACAUACUACGUAUAUGUGUUUCUUGGGCUGGACCUGCCCUCAACCUGAGCCCUUAGCUCCAUCCCUCAUUCCCUCCACCAUCCACCCCUAGCAAAACGAAAUCAUGCAACACACUGCAACAACUUUCGCAGGUGUCGCAGGAGGCGACGCCUCGUGUUCUCUGUUGUCCGGCCCGGCCUGCUCUUCAUCAAGAUUUGGUUUUACAAAGUUCGCUCCUACUAGUACAUACAAAAAAAAAAAACUAAUUAUAAGGUUGGAGGAUGUCGUAAUUAAAUUUGGUAUCCUAGCUAGCUUGUCCUCCAACUUGUAUAUGCCUAACUAUUUUACCAGUUUAAGGGCACUCCUAAUGCUAGAAACUACACUAUAUAUAGAAACUAUGGUCCCAUAGAUAGUUUCUAUAGAAUUUUUUUAUUCAAUCAUAUUCAUUCUCUCUCCAUUCUUAUCCAAUCAUAUCACUUCAUGUCUUGGAUCUCAUGUAGACAAUUUCUAACUUAGACCC